UACGUAGGGUGCGAGCGUUAAUCGGAAUUACUGGGCGUAAAGCGUGCGCAGGCGGUUCGUUGUGUCUGUGGUGAAAGCCCCGGGCUUAACCUGGGAAUGGCCAUGGAAACUGGCGAGCUGGAGUGUGGCAGAGGGGGGUGGAAUUCCGCGUGUAGCAGUGAAAUGCGUAGAGAUGCGGAGGAACACCGAUGGCGAAGGCAGCCCCCUGGGUUGACACUGACGCUCAGGCACGAAAGUGUGGGGAGCGAACAGG
rnacentral:rRNA from 1 species